UGGGGAAUUUUGGACAAUGGGGGCAACCCUGAUCCAGCAAUGCCGCGUGAGUGAAGAAGGCCUUCGGGUUGUAAAGCUCUUUUGUCAGGGAAGAAACGGGAUGUCCUAAUACGGUGUCCUAAUGACGGUACCUGAAGAAUAAGCACCGGCUAACUACGUGCCAGCAGCCGCGGUAAUACGUGGGGUGCAAGCGUUAAUCGGAAUUACUGGGCGUAAAGCGUGCGCAGGCGGUUAUGUAAGACAGGUGUGAAAUCCCCGGGCUUAACCUGGGAAUGGCAUUUGUGACUGCAUGGCUAGAGUGUGUCAGAGGGGGGUAGAAUUCCACGUGUAGCAGUGAAAUGCGUAGAGAUGUGGAGGAAUACCGAUGGCGAAGGCAGCCCCCUGGGAUAACACUGACGCUCAUGCACGAAAGCGUGGGGAGCAAACAGGAUUAGAUACCCUGGUAGUCCACGCCCUAAACGAUGUCUACUAGUUGUCGGGUCUUAAUUGACUUGGUAACGCAGCUAACGCGUGAAGUAGACCGCCUGGGGAGUACGGUCGCAAGAUUA
rnacentral:rRNA from 1 species